rnacentral:rRNA from 1 species
UACGAAGGGUGCAAGCGUUACUCGGAAUUACUGGGCGUAAAGCGUGCGUAGGUGGUGAGUUAAGUCUGUCGUGAAAGCCCCGGGCUCAACCUGGGAAUGGCGAUGGAUACUGGCUCGCUAGAGUGCGGUAGAGGAGAGUGGAAUUCCCGGUGUAGCAGUGAAAUGCGUAGAUAUCGGGAGGAACACCAAUGGCGAAGGCAGCUCGCUGGGACGUUACUGACGCUGAGACGCGAAAGCGUGGGGAGCAAACAGG